rnacentral:rRNA from 1 species
CAGCAGCCGCGGGAAUACGAAGGGUGCAAGCGUUAAUCGGAAUUACUGGGCGUAAAGCGCGCGUAGGUGGUUUGGUAAGAUGGAUGUGAAAUCCCCGGGCUCAACCUGGGAACUGCAUUUGUGACUGUAUAGCUAGAGUACGGCAGAGGGGGAUGGAAUUCCGCGUGUAGCAGUGAAAUGCGUAGAUAUGCGGAGGAACACCGAUGGCGAAGGCAAUCCCCUGGGCCUGUACUGACGCUCAUGCACGAAAGCGUGGGGAGCAAACAGGAUUAGAUACCCCGGUAGUCCCUGUCUCUUAUAA